GUUGUUCUCCGGGAGUGGCUGUAGCCACAGUGAAGUCACAGCGGCUCCCGAGAGCUUUCUGAGCACGGCCGACAUCAGGCUAGUGGGUGGGUGCGUGUCAUUCACAGCAGCUGCGGGACUUUCCUGCUGUAGCCGGAGAAGUUGCCAGGCACGUGCCGGAAGUUUCUGAAAUCAGUGCCGGCUUCCAGACGCGUGCUUGCUGCAGGCUGACCCAGAAGUGGCAGCUGGUCUGAUUGCCCCUCCCCCAAGCCUUCUCACCGUUGUCUAAACUUCCAGUUUCCUUUAUUCAGACUGUCAGCCGAAAAGGAAGAAGCUGAGGCAAGAUUAAUGUUAAGUGGGGAGUUUAUCGGGGCCAAGCUGGAAGCUUGCAGCCUGGACACACAGAUUCCAGUGGCCCGGAAUAUACUCAGGUUAGCAGCGUCACAAGAGGAUUUUGAAAGGAAAAGAAGAGGCAGUUCCUGAGUUGUUUACCAAGAAUUUACACUGAAAUACAUAAGCUAUUGAUUGGCUAUACAUUGUUGUUUGUAUCACAGAUUUAGGAACCUGAAGAUGAGGCAGCUAGUCAGGAACAAAAUGACUUCAGACAACUGCCCCCAGGCGCGGGGCAGGAGGAAUAAGUCCACACUCUGUCUGGGCCUGCAUCCUUCACCACGGAGCUCCAACUGCUCGGAGCUAUUUUCUGUUCUCGGAACCCUUCAUACUGAGAUUGCGUGGUGUCUUCUGUUUUCCUGACUACUGAAACAUCCAAGUGAAGAUGGGGACUAGGCAGUUGGAAAUGUGACUCUGGAGUUUGGGAGAGAGGUCAGGGCUGGAGAUGAGUUGAAGGUCAUCAGCAAAUGACGGCAUUUAAAUCUGGAGCUGGAGGGCUCAGCAAAGGUAAUGUAGGGGAGAGAACACUCCAAGAACGGAGCCUGGAGCCAGCCAGCAGGGACAGGCUGUGGGAAAGGAGACACAUCGGUUGAGGAGGACCCAGUGAGGUAGAAAGAGCCAGGGAGGGUGGAGCUCUGGACGCCAGGAGAGAGAGGUAGCAGGUGGGAGGGAAUGACCAACUGUGCCAAGGACUGAGGAUUGGCCCACUGGAUCAAGCAAGGCAGGGGUCUCUGGUGAUUGGAAAACAGCCAUUCUGUGAGUUUAGAGUGGGUUUUAGGAUGGGAGGAAAAGAAUUGCACACAACCGUGUUCAUUGUGAGAAGCCUGGUGCUGUAUAUGAAAAUGUUAACAAGCAACAUCUCUGGGUCAUGAGAUUGUAGAUGAGGUUUGUCCCCUAUAUAUUUUACUGAAUAGUGGACAGGAGCAUGCAGUUCUUCUAUAAAUAAAAAUAAGUUAUUCUAAACAUCCCUCCCUAAAUGCUUCAACUACCAGCCUUCCCCGACUGACCUGAGGCUGGUGCUAAGUUCCAAGGAGCUCAGGUCUACGAAACAGAAAGUGCACAUGCAAGUUCUGGGUGUCAGUCUCAGUUCCCCGACAUUGUUCACCUUCUUCUUCCCAAGAAUAUCAAAUCAUGCACAUCCUCUCUGCUCUUCCCAAACUCAGGUUACCUAGCAUGCUGGAAUUAAAUGGUACCCUGACAACUUGAAAAUCCUUUCCAUAAUGAAAACAAAUGUUUAUGGAACACAUCCCAUGUAGCAAGAACUUCCAUUUAAUACUGCAUUUAAAAAGAUGAAUGUGCUUCCCAAAUGCUUAAUUUACACCAUGACAGCAUUUAUUCAGGAUCGCCAGAGACCCCUCCAGCAGAUGUGCCUGUCAACUCACUGAGGAAAGAAAACAAACACGAGAAAUUUCAGAAACUGGAAGCUUGUAAGACCAAGAAAGAUGCGAAGUGAGGUUCGGUGGGCGCAGACUGAGCACCAGCCCAGUGCAGCUGGAGAGGCUUCCAGUGUUCACAGGCCCCCGGGGACUUCCCUCCAGACUCCCGGUGACUGCUCCGUGCCAGCGGUGACACUAACGCUGUGCACUGGGUUCCCAGCCCUGGGACUGCAAAGCCUGCCUCGCCAGUAAAGGACGUCUUCAAGGUACAAGAGGGGAAAUUUGGACACAGACACACACAGGGAGACUGCCACGUGAGGACCGGAGUCACGCUGCCACAAGCCAACAACCUCCAGGAGCCCGGGAGAGAGGCCCGGAGCAGGUCCCUCCCGACACCUUCAGAGGAAGCACGGCCCUGCUGACCCCGGUUUCUGUUUGAGCCACUCCGUUUGUGGUGCUUUGUCUCAGCACCUUAGCAAGCUAAUAGACACGUCAGCGAAAGCGCACUACGUUCAUCUCAAUAUGUGCUGUGUGUAAACACGUGCAGCGAAAUCCAACGUUAGAUGCAGUCGGCCCGCUAGAAGUGCAGAUCAGAGGGAAAAACUGUUUCAUACAGAGGCUGUAUAACGGCGGAGACUGGGUCAGUCCUCUCUUGCCAAUGUAAAAUGAGCCGUGGCUGUGCGGAGGCCAGGGCUACAACAGCGACCGGCCGGGCGAGGCUGCUCCCUGGCUCUGCGUCCGGCGGAAGGACGCUCGCGCCAGCUCUGCAAGUCCUCGGCCCGUUUAGAGCAUCGUCCCGGCUUCAGGUGGUCCCGCUGGCUUUCCUUAACUCAUUGUUUUAGUGCUUGGUCAGACGGUGCGUCGGUGGGUACGCGUCCCUUACGUGCUUGGGACUUCUGCUCUGACCGCCAGCCGACCGUGGCGCAGAUGCUCCUGGUCCUCAAGCCCAGGACUCUCCACCCGCAGCGUCAGUGCCGUGCGAUUCUGGAAAACUCUGUCCGUAUGUCUUUGUUUAGUUGGCGUUCUUAUCUGACAUCCCUACUUCCAAAAAGGACUCGAGGUGACUUACGUUAAAAACACCUGGCCAACAUGUACAUUAUAAACCGUGUGGCCGGGAACGGGCAGGUGUUUACACAUUCUGCCAAGUCUGCUUCCGUGGAAUUGCAAGGCCUGCUCCCACGCAGGGGAAACGCACGCCUGGGGUGUGCUCUGCAGCACGCGCUUCCGCAGCCCGAGUGAGUGGUAUGUGCCAUGACGUCACUCUCUGCACAGCGCAGCCCGUCAAAGGUAAAUCGAUCAGCAUAAAUGGCAGAGAAAGGGGGGGAAGUUCUCAUUCUUACUCUCUGCUGACCACGUUUCCCUACAGCAGGCUCCAUAACACAGAAUCGCUCCUUGCGCAGGAAAACUCACUUCACGGAAAAUGUGUGUGUGUGUUGUUUUACUUGUUCUCAUGUAUACUCUUAAGGUGACAGAACUUCUAAAACACAGAAGAGACAGAAAAAACUAUGAUCAGAAUCAAAUAUGUAAUAGGAAAACAAGGGAUGCAAAACACGAGAGAAAUAAAAAUGAAUUAAAUCAGUGAAUAAAUAAUUUUUUUCCUAGAAAAAUAACUCUCCAAGCAUCACAAUUCCUUACAAGUUUUUUACAUGGAGAAAUGCAAUUCAAGAAAAGAAGUAGGGGUGGGAAUGAUUUACAUAAUUUAAAAUUUUUGACAUAUUAAUUGCUUAAUUUUAUAAAAAGAAAUCAGAGCCCAGUAAUUUAUUUUAGUAAGAGCAAAAUGAUCAUAGG